CUACGGAGGGUGCAAGCGUUAUUCGGAAUCACUGGGCGUAAAGGACGCGUAGGCGGGUUGGCAAGUCAGAUGUGAAAUCCUACAGCUUAACUGUAGAACUGCAUUUGAAACUGCUAACCUAGAGUAUGGGAGGGGGAGAUGGUAUUAGUGGUGUAGGGGUAAAAUCCGUAGAUAUCACUAGGAAUACCGAAAGCGAAGGCGAUCUCCUGGAACAUAACUGACGCUAAGGCGCGAAAGCGUGGGGAGCAAACAGGAUUAGAUACCCUAGUAGUCC
rnacentral:rRNA from 1 species